AUGAUCCAGCUCCUGUUCGUGGUGCUCGUCGCCGAGGCGGCCGUGGCGACGGUGCUGCUCUUCAAGACGCCGCUGCGGAAGCUCGCCAUGCUGGGUCUCGACCGCCUCAAGCGCGGCCGCCGGGCGCCCGUCGCCGUCAAGACCGUCGCCGGCGUCGUCGUCACGCUCCUCGCCUCCACGCUCUACAGCAUGGCCGAGAUCAGCGCCCGCGCCGGGGACCCCGAGGCUGGAGGCGGCGCCGCCCUCUCUCCCACCGACCAGGUCCUCUUCUCGCGCCACCUCCUCGAGGCGUCCCUCAUGGGUUACACUUUGUUUCUUGCUCUAGUCAUUGACCGACUCCACCAAUAUAUCAGAGAACUACGUGGGCUAAAGAAGAAUGUCGAGGCUGUAUCGAAGCAGAACAAAACAUUAGAGGAAGGAAAACAUGGAAGAUCUCAGGAGAUAGCGAAAUACCAGGAAGAGGUUGCCACUCUGAACGAGGAGAUGAAGAAACUGAAGCUGCAAGUACAAGAGAAGACCGAGGAGGUCCAUGUUGCUGAGGACAAGGCACUUGCUAUUCAAAAGCAAUCUGAAAGCUUGCUGCUUGAAUAUGACCGGCUCCUGGAGGAUAACCAACAUCUCCGGGAGCAGCUGCAGUCAAUUGAUCUCAGGCUCUCCAAUCCUUCCUGA
rnacentral:rRNA from 1 species